rnacentral:rRNA from 1 species
GCACUCUAAGGUGACUGCCGGUGACAAACCGGAGGAAGGUGGGGAUGACGUCAAAUCAUCAUGCCCCUUAUGACCUGGGCUACACACGUGCUACAAUGGAUGGUACAAAGGGCUGCAAGACCGCGAGGUCAAGCCAAUCCCAUAAAACCAUUCUCAGUUCGGAUUGUAGGCUGCAACUCGCCUACAUGAAGCUGGAAUCGCUAGUAAUCGCGGAUCAGCAUGCCGCGGUGAAUACGUUCCCGGGCCUUGUACACACCGCCCGUCACACCACGAGAGUUUGUAACACCCGAA